UCCCUCACCUCAAUCGAACAUAAUCUAAACCUAGGGUUCCUCGUCCCCGCUACAGAACCGCCGCAGGCCCGUAGGUUGAUCUCCCGUGGCGCCGCCUCCCUCCUCCUCAGGUUGCAUCGUCAUCCUGCCCGCGCGGCCUUCACCGCCGCCCCCGCCGUCUGCAUCACGCCCUUCGUGCAUCGCCCCCGCCUUUGAAGAGAGGAGCACCUACGGCCAAAUCGUCCGUCCCCAACCACAACCUAAAUCGUGUGCCGCCCUUCCGGCGAGAUUCUUCCUCGUCCGGCCGUCCUCGCACCCACCCUGCCGGCCGGCCGCCACAAUCGGCCAGGCUCGCGGCCUCGACCUGCACGGGAUCUCAUCCGAGCGUCGCCCGACAUGGCUACUCCGGACAAUAAUCCUCACGCUCCCGUUGGCCAGGCCUACCGCCUCAUGGCGGGUCCUCAGGCAAUCCUAUCUCACCCGCCCACCCAGCUAAUGCGUUGGAGCUUGCGCAUUGCUGCUUCAAAAAUGUUGGUAGUUCGCUAUUGACAUUAGGCCAGCGCUCGAGGGGCCACUACCACCAAGGACAUCUUCACGCUCGCUCCCCAAACGCUCAAAGAGCUGUUCUAUGUGAUGGAGCUUAAUCCCACGGUGAUGUGCAAUCAUUUUGAUCAUGCAUUUUUAAUUGAAAUAGAUAUAUCUUAUUUUCCAUGGUCCUUUCUCGUGACUCAGUCUGUUAGUUGUUUCAUGUAUAUACAAUCUUCAGAUGCAGGGUGCUUGUUCUUGCAUCAUAAUGUGGUUCUUGAUUUGUUACGUGAAUAUGAAAACGACUUGAGAGUAAUUCUAAUUAGUAUGGUACGUGUAGAAUCACAGGCUGUUGCUGACAUUGACAUUGAAACUGAAUUUGUUCUUCUGCUACUGGAGUUUGUACCUAAUCAACAUUGGAGGUGAUGUUCUUUCUUCCCAGUUUCGUAUAGAGUUUUUAUUUUGCUAGCCUUCAUUUUAUGUAGUAUGUUAACACGUACAAGUAGUUUCUGAACUAUUGUUCGAUAUAUGUUUAAUUGGUUAGCUCAAAAGGUAGGGUACAUGUAAUAACUAAUGCAACAUACCUAAUGGAGCUUUAUGUUUUUAAUAUUUCCCAUAACAGCAUGAAAAUGAAAAAUAUAGGAGUUUUUGUUGCAAGGAUUAUAGACUUUUGUAUUCUACUAUAUUGGCUACUAAGAUGAUUUCCUUCAAGACGAUUCAUACAAAGAAAAUGGAAGUUUCAAAUAUAUUAUGGUUAUAAAACCAGCCUAUAUAUUACUUCCGCACUGACGCCACACUGACGCCGGUAGAGCAGCUCAUGCAUAUGUAAUCAUAGCUACAAAAUUACAGCAGCGAAUAUGUAGCUCAGUUUUGCGAAGUGCUACUUUGUAAGGAUGCAUUUGGAAAGAGGCCUGAUAAGAUAAGAUAAAUUGGGAAAGUGUUUAGUGAAGAGAGAAUCAGGGUCAUGUCAUGUGGAUCUGAAGAGCUAAACUGUAAUAGCAAGUGCUAGACUUUAAGCCCGCAUCUGCAAAUUAUCUAGCAUUUCACAUUAGUCGUAUGGCAAUUAAAUCUAAAAAUAUCAUUCUUCCUGAAAUAUUAUUGCUCACUCAAAAAAUUAUAUUCAAUAACCAGAUCUAAUAUAGUUGUAGUUUGUUUUGACAUUUGAUGCAACAAAUAUCAUAUUGAUUCCUUAGAUCUCCACCCCAAGGUUUGGGCUCAUAGAUUGUUCUUUACUACUAUUAAUAUGUGAUACUGAAAAUGAAUACCAUUGGUUGUUUGUUGUUGACGUCAAGGCCUUUAAUAUGAACAGAGGUACAUAUAUCUAGGUUUCUAAAGAACCAAAUACAUUGUUAUUGUUAAUAGCCUUUGCUAUAUGUUUUUCAUCGCAGAGUCUUGUAGCUCUAUUUCAAAGAGCUAUGGAUGUACCCGUUCUGGUGUUGAACCUGAUAUUGAUGUGUGAUCAACGGGAAGAUGAGGGUGCAGCUGAAUCACGUGUGGCUCCGACAGAGCGCGGGAGUCGUAUCCACUGGGGCGCAAGCCGAGGGAACGAACCAGAGCGGCGCGCUUGACCUGGGUCUCUUCUCCUCCACAACGACAAGGUGGACCAGAUGAGCAGCCGGUCAUAAGUCGCAUGGUGGUGCUAGACUGGCCCUUGUGCUCCUUCUCAGCUGGGAACGGACAAAACGGUCUCCCCUGCUCUCCCACUGGUAUAUUGAUGCUAGCAAGCGCAACGAUUUGAUGAUAUGCAACGACACAUAUUGCUUGAUCGAUGCGAUCCUUUUUAUGAUCAUGGACGAUGAAAAACUUUAUGGUGGCGACUAGCGGAAAACUUGAAUGGCAACACAACCGGGAAGGAGAGCGUCUGCCAAGGCUGCUUCCAUAUAUGUAGCCAGACUUGCCGCUUCUUUAGAAUUUGUUCUCUCUUCCUGAUAGUUUAAUUAUCUGAUCAUAGGUGUGCAAUUUGUGCUCUUUCAGAAUUUCAGCUUCACGGUGUGUGGGCAUGCUCAAUUCUGCGGAGCACAUCACUACAACCUGGAGAGUUCCAAUCACGGUUUACAUUUCAUGCUCUUACAGUCACGCGGUUCAGUAGAUGCUUCUCCAAGUAGUAAGAAACAGGGAUCUCGCCAGGAUAAUACUGCAUCUGCAGUUCAGGGAUCCCAGUGGGUGUCACCGGGAUAAUACUGCAUCUCCCUGAAUUUAUGGAAGUUUCCUUUUCUUUUGCUUUUAAAUUAUAAAGUGCACUUCAUUGCGCAGGAUGGAACUGAGCA